UGGUAUUGAUGGAAGCUGGUAAAUGAUAUACAGGAUUUCUACUAUUUCUUAUAACUGCACAUAAAUCUAAUACCUCAAAAUUAAAAGUUUAGUUAUUAAUUUUGUGUGUGUGUGUGUGUGUGUGUAUGUGUGGUGCUGGGGAUUGAACCCAGGGCCUUGUGCAUGCAAGGCAAGCACUCUACAAACUGAGCUAUACCCCCAGCCCUUAGUUACCAA
rnacentral:sRNA from 1 species